CGCUCGUAGUUGGAUAUCUGCCAAGGAGUUUCGGUCCUCCCCAGUGGAGAAUACGCGGAACAUUUCUUGGCACUUGUUCAGGGAAGGUGUUUGCACUUUGUUGUGCGUCACGUGAUCUGAAUUUUUACUUUGAGGAAAUGAGAGUGUUUCAAGCAGGCUUUUGCCGUGAAUAUGAUAGCAUGGAAUAAUAGCACAGGACCCCUUUCCAAAGCUGUUGGUUUUUGGAACGAGGUAAUCAUAAUAAGGACAGUUGGGGGUAUUCGUAUUUAACUGUCAGAGGUGAAAUUCUUGGAUUUUUUAAAGACGAACUAUUGCGAAGGCAUCUGCCCAGGAUGUUUUUGUUGAUCAAGAACGAAAGUUAGGGGAUCGAAGACGAUCAGAUACCGUCCUAGUCUUAACCUUAAACUAUGCCGACUGGAGAUUGGAGUCGUCAGUCCUUGACGUCUUCAGCAUCCUGAGAGAAAUCUAAGUCUUUGGGUUCCGGGGGGAGUAUGGUCGCAAGGCUGAAACUUAAAGGAAUUGACGGAAGGGCACCACCAGGAGUGGAGCCUGCGGCUUAAUUUGACUCAACACGGGAAAACUUACCAGGUCCAGACAUAGAUAGGAUUGACAGACUGAUAGCUCUUUCUUAAUUCUAUGAGUGGUGGUGCAUGGCCGUUCUUAGUUGGUGCAGUGAUUUGUCUGGUUAAUUCCGUUAACGAACGAGACCUUAACCUGCUAAAUAGUUUCCAAAACUUCGGUUUUCGGCUUACUUCUUAGAGGGACUUCGUGUGUUUAACAUGAGGAAGUUUGAGGCAAUAACAGGUCUGUGAUGCCCUUAGAUGUCCUGGGCUGCACGCGCGCUACACUGAUGUGUCCAGUAAGCACCUAACCUCAUCCGAAGGGAUCGGGUAACCUUUGCAACGCACAUCGUGAUGGGGAUAGAUUAUUGCAAUUAUUAGUCUUGAACGAGGAAUUCCUAGUAAGCACAAGUCAUCAGCUUGUGUUGAUUACGUCCCUGCCCUUUGUACACACCGCCCGUCGCUCCUACCGAUGGAAUGGUCCGGUGAAUACUUCGGACUGUGAAAUGUUUAG
rnacentral:rRNA from 1 species